AUUGAACGCUGGCGGCAUGCCUUACACAUGCAAGUCGAACGGCAGCACGGGAGCAAUCCUGGUGGCGAGUGGCGAACGGGUGAGUAAUAUAUCGGAACGUGCCCGGUCGUGGGGGAUAACGUAGCGAAAGCUACGCUAACACCGCAUACGAUCUACGGAUGAAAGCGGGGGAUCGCAAGACCUCGCGCGAUUGGAGCGGCCGAUAUCAGAUUAGGUAGUUGGUGAGGUAAAGGCUCACCAAGCCGACGAUCUGUAGCUGGUCUGAGAGGACGACCAGCCACACUGGGACUGAGACACGGCCCAGACUCCUACGGGAGGCAGCAGUUGGGGAAUUUUGGACAAUGGGCGCAAGCCUGGUCCAGCAAUGCCGCGUGCAGGAUGAAGGCC
rnacentral:rRNA from 1 species